rnacentral:rRNA from 1 species
GCAAGGUCGAGCGGAGAGAGGUAGCUUGCUACUGAUCUUAGCGGCGGACGGGUGAGUAAUGCUUAGGAAUCUGCCUAUUAGUGGGGGACAACAUUUCGAAAGGAAUGCUAAUACCGCAUACGUCCUACGGGAGAAAGCAGGGGAUCUUCGGACCUUGCGCUAAUAGAUGAGCCUAAGUCGGAUUAGCUAGUUGGUGGGGUAAAGGCCUACCAAGGCGACGAUCUGUAGCGGGUCUGAGAGGAUGAUCCGCCACACUGGGACUGAGACACGGCCCAGACUCCUACGGGAGGCAGCAGUGGGGAAUAUUGGACAAUGGGCGCAAGCCUGAUCCAGCCAUGCCGCGUGUGUGAAGAAGGCCUUAUGGUUGUAAAGCACUUUAAGCGAGGAGGAGGCUACUUUAGUUAAUACCUAGAGAUAGUGGACGUUACUCGCAGAAUAAGCACCGGCUAACUCUGUGCCAGCAGCCGCGGUAAUACAGAGGGUGCAAGCGUUAAUCGGAUUUACUGGGCGUAAAGCGCGCGUAGGCGGCUAAUUAAGUCAAAUGUGAAAUCCCCGAGCUUAACUUGGGAAUUGCAUUCGAUACUGGUUAGCUAGAGUGUGGGAGAGGAUGGUAGAAUUCCAGGUGUAGCGGUGAAAUGCGUAGAGAUCUGGAGGAAUACCGAUGGCGAAGGCAGCCAUCUGGCCUAACACUGACGCUGAGGUGCGAAAGCAUGGGGAGCAAACAGGAUUAGAUACCCUGGUAGUCCAUGCCGUAAACGAUGUCUACUAGCCGUUGGGGCCUUUGAGGCUUUAGUGGCGCAGCUAACGCGAUAAGUAGACCGCCUGGGGGAGUACGGUCGCAAGACUAAAACUCAAAUGA